GACAGAGGGUGCAAACGUUGUUCGGAAUUACUGGGCGUAAAGCGCGUGUAGGCGGCUAUGUGUGUCGGGCGUGAAAUCCCAUGGCUCAACCAUGGAAGUGCACCCGAAACUGCGUAGCUAGAGUCCUGGAGAGGAAGGUGGAAUGCUUGGUGUAGAGGUGAAAUUCGUAGAUAUCAAGCGGAACACCGGUGGCGAAGGCGGCCUUCUGGACAGUGACUGACGCUGAGACGCGAAAGCGUGGGGAGCGAACAGG
rnacentral:rRNA from 1 species